UCUUUUUUCUUCAUAUGUUUACAGUGGUAUAUCUUUUCAUCGUCAUUAGAUGCUUUGUGAUGUACAAGUGAAGAUGAUCGAGAAAGAGGAUGGAGAAAAAUGUGUUUUUUAUUUCUUUUGUGGGAUUUCUGCAUUUGAUCUCAGUUUUAGGUGAUAACUUAAUACAUCAAAAUGUGCCGGACAAAAGGCAUUUCCAAGUCAUAAAACCAGUGUUCUACCACAAUCGACAAGCAAGGGGAACCACACAUAUCAGAAAUGGUACCCAUCUCCAAGAUGUCACGUUAUAUUUUAAAGCAUUCAACAGAGAUUUCUUCAUUGAUUUAAGUGUCAAUAAGUAUUUAUUUUCAAAGAAUUUUAUAGAGAAGAAAAUUCGUAGAAAUAAUGGCUUCUCUAUACACAAGCCUAAAAUAGAGCAAUCUUCUCAUUGUUUUUACCAUGGGUCCCUCCGUGGAUUUCAACAUUCCAUUGUAGCUCUAAGCACCUGUGAUGGUAUAAGGGGUUUGAUAUCAGAUGGGCGCGUCUCCUAUCAUAUAGACCCUUCUCCCGAGCAUGGACCGGGGCAUCAUAAAUUGUACAUAGAACCUGAUGAUCCGGUGCAGCGGCGAGAUGAAAAAUUAGUACAUUCCAGUUUGCAUGCAAAUGCAACAUUAAAUUAUUUACAUACCAGAGAUUUCCUUCAUAGGGUCCGUCGUGAACUUCGGGGUCCCUAUGAUGGAAACAGCAAUGCCCGGUUUAUUGAGAUGUACAUUGUGAAUGAUCAAAGAAUGUAUGAGAGAUACAUGAGGCAGGACAGACAAGUGAUACAGCGAUCAAAAGACAUCGUGAAUAUAGUCAGCAAGCUUUACAAUCCACUAAAUAUCUACAUAGCUUUGGUGGGAAUUGAGAUUUGGGAGCAGGACAAAUUCCAAAUACAGCCCCAGGCCAACGACACACUGGAGCGAUUCCUGAACUACAGAAAAUACAGCAUUAACCCCAAGCAUGAAAACGACAAUGCCCAGCUGAUCACGAUUCCAGGAACCAGCUGAUUCAGGUAGCCACCACAGUGGCGCACGAGCUGGGACACAACCUGGGGAUGGCCCAUGACAACUACUCCUACUGUCAGUGUCCAGACGACAAGUGUAUCAUGGCACCCACUCAGGGCGGCAUUGCCCCUCCCACAAAAUGGUCAACAUGUUCAAAGAUAUCGUUGGCUGAGAACUUUGAGAUAGGGAUGGAUUACUGUCUACGAAACAAACCAGAGAAGUUGUACGAUGGUCCGGUCUGUGGGAACGGGUUUGUGGAGAUAGGGGAGGAGUGUGACUGUGGGCUGCCAGAGGACUGUAAAACGAGGUGUUGUGAUGCAAGAACCUGUAGACUGACCACAGGGGCAGUGUGUGCCACGGGGAAGUGCUGCGACACCCAGGCCUGUGUGCUUAAGCCGCGAGCCACUCUGUGUCGAGGAUCUUACGAGGAAUGUGAUCUCCCAGAGUUCUGUAACGGAGAGUCAGAGUACUGCCCAGCAGACGUGUACAGGAAAAAUGGAAUAGAGUGCGGGAAUGGCCAGUCAUAUUGCUUGAAUGGGAAAUGUAAGACCCACACAGGACAAUGCCGCCUUCUCUGGGGGCCAACGGGGAGAGUGUCUGACCCCAUCUGUUUCCAGCACCUCAAUGUAAAUGGGUCCAGUACAGGGAAUUGUGGGUACAAUUUACCCACUCGGCGAUACACUCGGUGUGACAAAGACAGUGAUGUCAUGUGUGGACUACUUCACUGUGUUCAUCUGAAUGAGAAGCUCAUGUUUUGGAGGGAAACCCUGAGUGUUGCCCUGCCCGCCUCCUUCCUGACCAAGGGGUCAAAGACCUACAUCUGUCGAUCAGCCACGCUAGAUGUAGGGCUUAACAUGCCCGACCCGGGCCAGGUCCCUGAUGGGGCCAAGUGUGGGCAUGAAAAGAUAUGUUACAACCAUUCCUGCACAUCUUUAGCCAGAAUUCCAACAAAAGAGUGCCCAGACUGCAACAAUAAUGGGGUGUGUAAUAGUAUCGGUCAGUGCCACUGUAAUGAAGGGUUUGGUCCCCCUUUCUGUAAUGAGCCCGGGUAUGGAGGAAGUAUACACAGUGGACCAAUCAAAAUUAAAGACUCAUCUGGGAGAACAACUGUGUCUUCAGUGAACAAUGUUGCUUGUGAUAUAGAUUGUCUAAGUUUAUCUGCUAGCACCAAUAAUUCUCUCUAUGUGGCAAUCAUCUUUGCCAUUGUGUUGCCAAUUUCUAGUCUCUUUCUUGUGAUUUGGUAUUUUAAAAGGAAAAAAAUAAAUUAAAAAAU
rnacentral:misc_RNA from 1 species